CCAGCAUCAGUGUGUCUGAUCUCAGCAUCAGUCUCUCUCUACCUCUGGAGGUGGAAUAUCAGGAUAAAAACACCUACAGCUGUGUGCUGAACAAUCCCAUCAGCAACCAGAUCAAACAUCUCAACAUCACUCAAGUCUGCCAGAUUCACUCAGUGCUGAUCUCUGUUGCUGGUGAUUGCAGCUGUGGUUGGGAUCUGCUGCAUCUGCAGGAAAUGUAAAAAAUCAGUUCAGACACAGGAAGACAGAACUCAUUCAGCGCUGUGUAAACCAACAACACAACAAAAGAGUCUGUGAAUCUGAUGUCUCUGAUGGUCAAAGAUCCAGUCUGAUGAUCCAGCUUCAGUCUGUCCUUGAAUCUCUCAGUACCUUCAUUACACUGAAGUUCUGUACAGAUACAGCUGAGAUCUCCAUUGAUUUGAGCGAUGCGAAUGUCAUUAAAAUACCAUUUAAUCUUC